AUUUUUUAUUUGUAAACCAGCAUCUGCAGUUCCUUCUUUAACCCAGAACAACAGUCGUCCAGCCCUAUCCACCAAUUGACCCUGAAACCACCUCCCGCCCUCCACACCAAUUCCUCCCCCAGCCCUUCACUCGCCAAUCCCCAUGAACAUUUCCAGGCCUGAAACCAACUCUACUUACUCAAUGUGGAGGAAAGAGCUGCAGAUACUGGUUUAAAUCGAAGGUAGACACAAAAUGCUGAAGUGACUCAGCAUCUCUGGAGAAGGA